CCCUACGGGGCGCACCAAAUCGUCGUUCUGGGGGUUCCAGUCGUCGUAGGGCGAGAUGUGCAAUCCGCCGUAAACGCCGUACACCUUGUCGCCCCCUUUCAUGUUGUUCUUGAUGUACUCCAGGAGGGUGAUCAGGCCCAUGUGACAGCAUCCCGUAAUCGUCGCCACGCCCUUUCCGGCGACGUUGCACACGAGCACCUGCUCGCCCCAGACGCCGCGCCCGCACGGGCAGGCAAAGGUGACGGCCGCCACGCCGGGAUAGAGGGGAUAUAGCUUCUUAAGGUCGUGCUUGAUCAGCUUUCCCUUGAAGGGGAUCGAAUUCUUGAUAGGCGGCUUGGGAAAAUUGCCCCCGGACAUGAGCUUGUAGCUGUCUUCCAUGAAGGAAUUGGCGGGGGGGC
rnacentral:rRNA from 1 species